ACCACAAUAAGUAAUUUGGAACAGAGGGAGUACGUGUUUACUAGCUUUGUGGUCUUAAUCAGGAAGUGAGCAUGCAGAGAAUAUAUAUAGCUUUAAUUUCUCAUCUCUGAAUUAUGUGCUGCAUAUUUUGGACUUGUAUAUAACUACCCAAGACAUAUGGUUCGUGUGUAUAUUGCUCAUUUCUUCUAAUCGUCUUGUUUGCACAAUUAUUCGUGUGGAUUACACCGUCCUAGCUAGAUGGGGUCGUUCAUGGUGGCAACAUGUGACGUGAAGACAUACGUACAUGAUUAGCGAGUAAACAAAACGGGGCAUCUCCUCCGGCUUAUCCAGCCCGAGAUGGAGGCCGACCCUCCACGGACAGGGACGUCCAUGUGAUCCAUCCACCCAUGCGACGACACACAGCAUGAGGGCCUGUUCGGUUGCAAGAGUUUUGAAGAGGAUUGGAGUGGAUUGGGGAGGAUUAAAUCCCCUAUAAGUCAAAGUUCACCUCAAUCCCGUCCAAACCUCUCCAAUCCUCUCCAAGAGAGGUUUAAACGAACAUAGCCUGAAGGGAGGAAACCACAAAGCCGAAACCUCCGACCCCGACCAAGAACUGGAGGGUUUCGUCAUACUCCAGUUGCUACCUGCUGCGUGCACAACUUCCGAUCAUAGGCCAGAAGCACGCACGCACGCAUACACGCACGUUGUGGGUAGGAUCAACGCGCCGGGCGCUUUCGUGGACGGACACCAUCGGCUCGUCCGCAAGUGGUGGUGGCGGGGGUCGAUCGGAUGGAGGUGCGGCGUCAGGUCUCGCCGUCGCCGCACAGUGCCGAGUCCUUUUCCUUGUCUCUGCGGUGGUUGGAGUUGCCGCAUGGCACUAUGGCAGGAUGAUGAGCAGCCGACCAGCCUCCAGCUUCCUCUUCUCUUUCUUCCUUUCUCACGGGGUCUUCGUGGAAGCCAAGGCCAAGCUGUGACCUACCUGCAGGGACAAGAAGAAACGUCACGAAGAGUCAUUGUGUUGCUGGCAGCCGCACGUUACAGUGCUCUAGUGAUUGCACGGUUGCGCCUCCCUUUGGUCGUGCGGUUUAUGAACCAAACCUCAAAAGCAGCCGCAGAUUCCCAAUUCUCCAUCGGUCGAAACAUAUUAUGCAACUGCCAACUGCAAGUGCCUGCCUCGUGAGAAGUGAUUCCAAGGUCAGAUCGCCGAUGGAUGGAUGCUUGAUCGAGCCUGUGUGUGGGAUUAUCAUCAGUGGGUUUUGGACGAUGCGGUUCCUGCGAGCAAAAGCGCAAAAGAGCAGAGGAUGAGAUACGAGGCGGCCGGAGGAUUGGUGGUCGUCGGAGACGGGUAGCGAAGUCAAGCAUGCAUGUGCAAGCUGUGUAUGCAUGCAUCGUGCUCGGAAAGUGUAGAAAGGGAAAAGCGUUUGCUUUGCUAGGUGCUAGUGCUAGUGCUGCUGCUAGCUUUGGCUGGCUUCAUUGGUUUUCUGGAAGUGUUAUCCUCAGCCUGAUUUGAAUUAUAUAGUUGGUUGGAUUGGAUCGCUUUUGGGACGCUUCCAAAAUAGUUUGGACCGUUCACAUUUCAUUUUGGUCCAAGGUCCAGGAUUGACUAGCUUGCCUUUCCUUUAGAAUUUUCUUUUACCCGCGUCAUAUUGUUGAUUCCAUGAAGGAAAAAAAAAUACCGAUUAUACGCUU